ACUUGGCUGGCUCAGUUGGUUGGGUGUCUGACUUUGGCUCAGGUCAUGAUCUCACAGUUUGUGGGUUCGAGCCCCGUGUCAGGCU
rnacentral:tRNA from 1 species